CAGUAGCCGCGGUAAUACGAAGGGUGCAAGCGUUAAUCGGAAUUACUGGGCGUAAAGCGUGCGUAGGCGGUGAGUUAAGUCUGCUGUGAAAUCCCCGGGCUCAACCUGGGAAUGGCAAUGGAUACUGGCAAGCUAGAGUGUGUCAGAGGAUGGUGGAAUUCCCGGUGUAGCGGUGAAAUGCGUAGAGAUCGGGAGGAACAUCAGUGGCGAAGGCGGCCAUCUGGGACAACACUGACGCUGAGGCACGAAAGCGUGGGGAGCAAACAGGAUUAGAGACCCGCGUAGUCCCUGUCUCUUAUAC
rnacentral:rRNA from 1 species